rnacentral:rRNA from 1 species
GUCAAAGCACACCACCAUCUAGUAUUUCUAAUACCCCACACCACCACCAACCCUUCACUCCUACUGAACGACUCCAUUAAACCAUGGAAGCCAUCCUGUUUGAACUAGUAACAAGAAUCAGAAAUUCUCCUUGAUAUAAACAUAAGCCGUAACGGACAACACAACGGCAAUUAAAGUAAAUGAACCCACCGCAACAACUUAUUUAAAAAACUUGCAAUAAUAAACGUUAACCUAACACAAGAAUAUCCCAGGAAAGAUUAAAAAAGAGAGAAGGAACUCGGCAAACCUUAUAACCCCGCCUGUUUACCAAAAACAUCGCCUCUUGAUAAACUAUAAGAGGUCCAGCCUGCCCAAUGAUUCAUUAAAUGGCCGCGGUACCCUAACCGUGCAAAGGUAGCAUAAUAACUUGUCCUUCAAUUGGGGACUAGAAUGAACGGCACCACGAGGGUUUAACUGUCUCCCCUCUUUAAUCAGUGAAACUGACCUUCCCGUGAAAAGGCGGGAAUUUUAAUACAAGACGAGAAGACCCCAUGGAGCUUUAGACUUAAAGCACAUCAAAUAUUUACUUCACCUAAAUUCAUAAUCCCUGACUCUAAGUCUUAGGUUGGGGCAACCGUGGAGCAAAACUUAACCUCCAUUUUGAAUGGAUAAAAAUCCUAAUCCAAGAGUUACCACUCUAAGAAUCAACAAACUGACACCCACUGACCCAAAAUUUGAUCAACGAACCAAGUUACCCUGGGGAUAACAGCGCCAUCUACCUCGAGAGUUCAUAUCGACAGGUGGGUUUACGACCUCGAUGUUGGAUCAGGGUAUCCAUGUGGUGCAGCCGCUACAUAUAGUUCGUUUGU